AUACGUAGGGUGCAAGCGUUGUCCGGAAUUAUUGGGCGUAAAGAGCUCGUAGGCGGUUUGUCACGUCUGCUGUGAAAACCCGAGGCUCAACCUCGGGCUUGCAGUGGGUACGGGCAGACUAGAGUGCGGUAGGGGAGAUUGGAAUUCCUGGUGUAGCGGUGGAAUGCGCAGAUAUCAGGAGGAACACCGAUGGCGAAGGCAGAUCUCUGGGCCGUAACUGACGCUGAGGAGCGAAAGCAUGGGGAGCAAACAGGCUUAGAUACCCUGGUAGUCCAUGCCGUAAACGUUGGGAACUAGAUGUGGGGACCAUUCCACGGUCUCCGUGUCGUAGCUAACGCAUUAAGUUCCCCGCCUGGGGAGUACGGCCGCAAGGCUAAAACUCAAAGGAAUUGACGGGGGCCCGCACAAGCGGCGGAGCAUGCGGAUUAAUUCGAUGCAACGCGAAGAACCUUACCAAGGCUUGACAUAUACGAGAACGCGCUGGAGACAGCGAACUCUUUGGACACUCGUAUACAGGUGGUGCAUGGUUGUCGUCAGCUCGUGUCGUGAGAUGUUGGGUUAAGUCCCGCAACGAGCGCAACCCUCGUCCUAUGUUGCCAGCACGUAAUGGUGGGAACUCAUGGGAUACUGCCGGGGUCAACUCGGAGGAAGGUGGGGAUGAGGUCAAAUCAUCAUGCCCCUUAUGUCUUGGGCUUCACGCAUGCUACAAUGGCCGGUACAAUGGGCUGCAAUACCGUAAGGUGGAGCGAAUCCCAAAAAGUCAGUCUAAGUUCGGAUCGCAGUCUGCAACUCGACUGCGUGAAGGCGGAGUUGCUAGUAAUCGCGGAUCAGAAUGCCGCGGUGAAUACGUUCCCGG
rnacentral:rRNA from 1 species